UUGAAAGCCUUGGGCUUGAAAGUAAUUUUUUUGGAACCAGGAAACGUAUAACUCAAAAAAGCUCUCAAUUUGUGCUGCUAACUUAUUUAUUAGCAAAUAUUGAGAAUUUAAAGAAUGGAGAUUGAAUGUCGUCCUUUUUCUGCUGGAAGUAGGCAAGCUCCUGACCCAUACGAUCAGUUCUUGGAGCAAGAGGGGUUUUACCGGAAACAUACAGCUCGAGACUCUACAUGUUUGUUUCGAGUGGUCUCGGAGCAAAUUUUCGAUGUUCAGCUGUAUCACGAAAAAGUUCGAAAUGAUUGUGUGCACUUUAUGCGAAAGAGACGCGAGUUUUACGAAAAGCAAAUCCACGGUGAUUUCGAAGAUUAUUUGGACGAAAUGAGCAAAUAUCAUUCGCAUGGUACUUUUUUGGAGCUGGACGCGUUGGCACACGUUUAUCAGAGAAACGUUCUUCUUUUCGGACCAUACAAUUGUGGAACGUGGUUUGUAAAGUGCGAUUCAUAUAAGGAUUCUUUAAUGGUAUUUUUCUCUCCUGAUAAACAUUUUGAUUCGAUAUUUCCAACAACUUAUAUUGAGCAAGCAGCUUAUUGCCAAGGUGUUGUGUAUGAAAUUUUGUAUAUCAACGUGUUCAAGCUUCCUGAUGUAAUGUAUUCUGUUGAGCGGAUGCUGCAUGAUCCUGCAGGAAAAACAAUGAGGAUUUUGGAACGCCAAGAAAAACCUGGUGAACUUAUCGAGACAUCAGAUGGACGACAAUUUAUUGUAAGCACUGCAGCCGAAACAGAAUGCGUUUUGGAUAAUUACCGAUUGUGUCAUUUCCAUAAUAAAGAUAAUUUUGCUGCAAUUAGUGAUAUUUACUGUAAUAAAAAGCGCGAUAAAGAGUCAAAAGAGGUCCGCAGCGUAAAGACUCAUCAUGGAAAAGGACCGUUAGUAAGGGAACUAACUCUAGUAAAUCCGAUGCUCAGCGACAAAAAAAUCUCAUGCGUAAGGCAGUUGUUGCAGGAAGGCAUCACGCCGUUUCCUUACAAGGUAGCGAAGGCUCUGGAUCCCAGUAUAUACCGAAACAUUGAGUUUGAUUCCUGGAGCGAUACGAGAAGAGAACUGAAAUAUCGAAAUUGGUACUUCGGAGGAAAUAGUUUGCAGAUUUCCCCCUGUUUGCCAGCGUAUGCACCGGGUCAUACAUAUCCUAUCAGCAUUCCUUACUAUGCGACCGAUACCACCGACAUUGAAGAGCAAGUAACAUCGCCAAAUACUUGUUGCUUACCAAUAUCGUUCAUGAUACACCCAUAUGGAGCAUCUGUCAUAACACCAGCGGAAUACAAUAUCAAUGAAACUGUAGAUUCUUAUGGAGGUAACGGUACUUACCCGGCUAUCAUUUAUGCAACUGCACCACAUGCAUCAUCGAGAUAUACCAUGUGGGCCUAUCUACAGCACCCGUUAACAUAUUUCAACAGUAUUCAGAAUGUAGCUACUAGUAGCCACUGUGUUCCAGAUUCCCUACUCGAUCGACAUAUUUGCUGAGUCUUCAAUUAAUCCUAUAUGAUGAUUCGUGUGGCGGGCAAGACGGUGACUAUGUUUAUUAUACGAUAGCGAUAUGCUUUGGCAGCAAUUAUGUGCACUGCAACGUCGGUGGCGAUGAUGGUUUAGUUAAGGGAUUUAUUAUGCUCGUGACAAGAGGGAUGAAGUUUCUAACGCGCGAUCUGUUCAAAUUGAAGCAAGGUGACUCAGUGCAAGAUUUUUAUCGAGACGUAUCACACGCAAUCUCAUUACUAAUUAACUUAUUACACCUCAACGAAAACAUUCAAAAGGAGCCCAAAACCACACGGAGACUAAAAAAACACAUUUUCUUUCAGGAACCCAC